UACGAAGGGGGCUAGCGUUGCUCGGAAUCACUGGGCGUAAAGCGCACGUAGGCGGAUUGUUAAGUCAGGGGUGAAAUCCUGGAGCUCAACUCCAGAACUGCCUUUGAUACUGGCGAUCUUGAGUCCGGGAGAGGUGAGUGGAACUGCGAGUGUAGAGGUGAAAUUCGUAGAUAUUCGCAAGAACACCAGUGGCGAAGGCGGCUCACUGGCCCGGUAUUGACGCUGAGGUGCGAAAGCGUGGGGAGCAAACAGG
rnacentral:rRNA from 1 species